CAGUCGCCACGGUAAUACGGAGGGAGCUAGCGUUGUUCGGAAUUACUGGGCGUAAAGCGCGCGUAGGCGGUUACUCAAGUCAGAGGUGAAAGCCCGGGGCUCAACCCCGGAACUGCCUUUGAAACUAGGUAGCUAGAAUCUUGGAGAGGUCAGUGGAAUUCCGAGUGUAGAGGUGAAAUUCGUAGAUAUUCGGAAGAACACCAGUGGCGAAGGCGACUGACUGGACAAGUAUUGACGCUGAGGUGCGAAAGCGUGGGGAGCAAACAGGAUUAGAUACCCCUGUAGUCCCUGUCUCUUAUAC
rnacentral:rRNA from 1 species